rnacentral:lncRNA from 1 species
AUACGUUAUAUAUAUAUGUUAUUUUUUCAAUAAACUAUUUAGUUUACUCAUAUUGUUUAAAUUAAUUUCUAAAUACCUAUGAAAAUACAUGCGAUUAUUAGUUGGACCAGUUGCAAAUGUUAGUGUUAAAUAAUACGUCUUUCAUAGGUACGUCAAUAAAUUUCUUCGAAUAUCAGUGCUUGAAUUAUUCAGUAAUCGAGCUCGACCUGA